rnacentral:rRNA from 1 species
GUGGGGAAUAUUGGACAAUGGGCGAAAGCCUGAUCCAGCCAUGCCGCGUGUGUGAAGAAGGUCUUCGGAUUGUAAAGCACUUUAAGUUGGGAGGAAGGGCAGUAAGUUAAUACCUUGCUGUUUUGACGUUACCGACAGAAUAAGCACCGGCUAACUUCGUGCCAGCAGCCGCGGUAAUACGAAGGGUGCAAGCGUUAAUCGGAAUUACUGGGCGUAAAGCGCGCGUAGGUGGUUUUGUAAGUUGGAGGGGAAAACCCCGGGCUCAACCUGGGAACUGCCUACAAAACUGCAUGACUAGAGUACGGUAGAGGGUAGUGGAAUUUCCUGUGUAGCGGUGAAAUGCGUAGAUAUAGGAAGGAACACCAGUGGCGAAGGCGACUACCUGGACUGAUACUGACACUGAGGUGCGAAAGCGUGGGGAGCAAACAGGAUUAGAAACCCUGGUAGUCC